rnacentral:rRNA from 1 species
GUGGGGAAUUUUGGACAAUGGGCGAAAGCCUGAUCCAGCAAUGCCGCGUGCAGGAUGAAGGCCCUCGGGUUGUAAACUGCUUUUGUACGGAACGAAAAGCCUGGGGCUAAUAUCCCCGGGUCAUGACGGUACCGUAAGAAUAAGCACCGGCUAACUACGUGCCAGCAGCCGCGGUAAUACGUAGGGUGCAAGCGUUAAUCGGAAUUACUGGGCGUAAAGCGUGCGCAGGCGGUUUUGUAAGACAGUGGUGAAAUCCCCGGGCUCAACCUGGGAACUGCCUUUGUGACUGCAAAGCUGGAGUGCGGCAGAGGGGGAUGGAAUUCCGCGUGUAGCAGUGAAAUGCGUAGAUAUGCGGAGGAACACCGAUGGCGAAGGCAAUCCCCUGGGCCUGCACUGACGCUCAUGCACGAAAGCGUGGGGAGCAAACAGGAUUAGAUACCCUGGUAGUCC